GGCUGAUCUCCCCCAAGAGUUCACAUCGACGGGGUGGUUUGGCACCUCGAUGUCGGCUCGUCGCAUCCUGGGGCUGGAGUAGAUCGCAUCCUGGGGCGGUAGUACGUCCCAAGGGUUGGGCUGUUCGCCCAUGAAAGCGGUACGCGAGCUGGGUUCAGAACGUCGUGAGACAGUUCGGUCCAUAUCCGGUGUAGGCGUUAGAAUAUUGAGAGGAGCCUUCUUUAGUACGAGAGGACCGAGAAGGACAUACCUCUGGUGUACCAGUUAUCGUGCCAACGGUAAACGCUGGGUAGCUAUGUAUGGAGUGGAUAACCGCUGAAAGCAUCUAAGUGGGAAGCCCACCUCAAGAUGAGUAUUCUCAUCACGUAAGUGAGUAAGGUCACGGUAAGACUAACCGUUUGAUAGGCAUUAAGUAUAAGUGCAGUAAUGUAUGUAGCUGAGAUGUCCUAACAGACCGAGGACUUG
rnacentral:rRNA from 1 species